rnacentral:lncRNA from 1 species
CAAAGGCGUAACCCGGGAUGCUCAGAUUGGCAUUUGCGUCGUUACAAUUGGGUGCACCCAGCUGCAGCUCAUCCAUCUCUCAACAAAAUUUGCCUCAAAACAUGCUACAUCAUAGGUCACAUGCACUAUCCACCCUAACACCUUCUGGUAGUCAUGCCUAGUAUUAGUCCUCUAUCGCUGUUAGUUAACACUACAAGACAUUGCUGCAGCAGCAGUCCUCCACAAGCAGUUUGUGAGCCUGUAUGCAGCAAAGAUCAGGCAGGGGCAUACAAUAGCACCUUUGUCAGACCAUCAAGAACUGCAAUGACUGUGAUGUGGAACUAAGAAUGCAGUUUUAUGCCACACACCUUACUACUGCUUUAACCCUCCACUGACUCUGCGUGCUGAUGUGUGGUGGGGAAAGCAUGUGGUGUUGUCCACAGCAGCUGCAGGUUGCUGGGUGGGCCCUGUAGACAGACAAACAUGCCCAUCAGAAGUUAAAUACGCCAAACCCUGUAUAGGAGACUCCAUACAGAAUAUAUGCAGCAAGAGGUAAUUUGACACAAAAUCCAAAAACUGCAGUUGCCCUUGUUUGCUUGCACAUGAAUGACAAUUAUCCCCCCUUAAAAUCAGGGGGUCCCCAACCAUCUGUCAAUCUCAGAGUGAUGGAUGCAACUGUGUAGAUACCUGUAGUCACAGCUAUCACCUCCCAUGCAGAAAAAGCAUGCCCGGGAAUCGAACUCAGGUCGGAACUGAAUUAUUUGCCUAAUCCAACCCGUUCUAUCAUGACUUCCCCAGAGAAGAUUUCACCAUUCUCAAGUCUUAGCUCCGUAUAUGAGCUAGUAACCAGCAUACUUCCUCAACGGCUUCUUCCUGUUUGAACCUGGGUAGUUGCCUUAAUCAACCUGUUACAUCAUGAUUUCCCCCAGAGAACAACUCACCAGUGGUCACUAUUCACGUGUCGUGAUAUGAGCCAGUAGCCAACAUACGCCUCCAUCCUCAACGGCUUCCAAACCGGCACCCAUAUCUCAGGCAGAGCGGCAUCAUGCUUAUGUCACCUUUCUUCAUCGUAGGCAGAGCUUUGGUGGAUGAUGCCGUCUGCAGCUCCCGUUUCUCGCUUCUGUACACAUGCCUGCUGAAGCAAGUUUACCAUAUGGGGUUGCAACCCCCUCAUUUGAGUCCUGCAGAUCAUGCAAGCAAGCAGUUGCAAUGUCUAACAUGCAAGCCCAAUUUUACUACUUCUCAUGAGACAACAUCAUACGUUGGGUUGUUGCUUGGGUUUGGUGCUGCCCAGGUGUGCAGCCAUGGCAUGAGGAGCAUGGUCGCGAUGGUGAAGUCCUUUGUUGCCAAGUUGCCAUAGAACUCGGCAAAGUCGUCAUAUUCCAUUCCACUGACGGCCAGGAAUUCCUCAAACGCUUUGGUGGCCUUAUCACCAGCAGCACUGCAAACGUUGCUGGGCACGUUUACCGCUCAUCUAAUGAACCAGUGCAAUGGCUGAUGAUGCCACUCACUUGUCAUUCGUUGGCUGCAUCAUAGCUGCAGCUGGACCUCGUGCAUCCUGCGCCUACCGUAAUGAUACGAGAUUUUUGUGACACGCAAUUGGUAUGGCGUCCACAAAUGUAUAGCAGUGGAAAAAGGUCUUAGGCAAAAUUUUAUGGGCAUCACCAAACUGGCUGUCACAAAUAUGUCGUACACCGUGUUAACGGUAUCGACAAACAGUAAAAGCCCUCCAGAAGACGCUGUUGGCUUGUAGUUAUCUUCGUCUUUUACCCCUAAGUUGUUCGGACAAGAACUUUAGCUUACAGGCCCACCCUCAGAAAGCGCGCUCAGAAUGGCGCCUAAACAGCUUAAGCUUACUAGCCUUUUACCCAAGCUCGACACCAAUGCUCCCAUUGAGCUCAGGGCAGGCAUUGCCAGCGUUCGAGUGGCGCCAGCAACGUGGGGCCCGUCAGGGGCCCGGAAUUUACUGGUGCACGCCGCGAACUCCCGUGCAGUGUGUGCCUGACGUUGUCACGCUUCCCUUCACACCUGCAGAUCCAGACCGCCAUCGACCAGCUGGCAGCCGAGAUGGAGGUGACCUUCAAGAAGCCAGUCGCGCACACCACCGCGUCCAACUGGUACAAGAGGUGGCUGGCAACUGACCGCAAGGCCUUCAACAGCAACACAGUGCACAACAUGCGGUCGGUCUCACUCCCUCCGGCCAUCUACGCCUUCGUAAAGCAGUGGAUCCUGGAGCUCAUUGACACUGGCUCCCAGGUGUGUCCCCUGCUGCUUUCUUGGCUGGCCCCGUCCAGCCGCCCGGCCCUGCCAGCUGCCCUUAAGUUGCCCCCUGGAAACCAGUGUAACAAUGUUCCUACAUCCAAGUCUCCCAUCGCGCCCCACCCGACCCCACCAAUGCGUGCAGGUGAACUCGGCGACGCUGCAGCCGUACAUCACUGCUGGGCUCAAGUGUAAGGGCUAUGGCUUCCUUCUUGCUGAUGCCCCUGGUGGUGCCGGCACGUUCAAGGUCAGCCGGUCCUGGAUCCGCAAGGUGUGCCGCCAGAUGAACCUGUCGCACCGCGCCGCCACGUCUGCUGCCCAGAAGCUGCCAGAUCAGUGGGAGCAGGUGCUGCAGCUGUUUGUGUACCAGGUUAGUCAGCCAUCAGGGAAAGGUGGGAAGGGGAGGGAAGGGAAGAAGGGAGAGAAGGGAACACGCCACGGCAUUUUGGGGCCUCUCGACUCACACACAGGCACCUUCCCCUUGCCCCUUUGGUCCACAGGUGGCAUACCUGACCUGGAAGCACAAGAUCCCGCCCCAGCUGGUGAUUAACGGCGACCAGACGGGCUGCAACAUGUUCCCCGCCAGCCGCAACAUCUAUACCCAGAUCGGAACACGCCACGUGCGGGUGCUGGGGCUUGAGGACAAGCAGCAGAUUAUGGUCAUGGUGGCCUGCUCUGCCUCAGGCGACAUGCUUCCCCUCAAGGUGGUCUUCCAGGUGGGGCAUGAACCCUAAGUUAACACGUGUUCGUGAUGCCUGGUCGCACUUUAUUGGCAAGACUCAUACACCUUGGUCUUUUCUUUGUUUCCUCAGGGCUUGACGGACCGCAGCCUUCCUCCCCAGCACACAUGUGCAGCCACGGAGGCGCUGGGCUGGGUCUACACGUGCACUGACAACCACUGGGUGACCGAAACCACCAUGUGCCUGUGGAUCACGCAUGUGGUCAAGCCCUAUGUCACACGUGUAAAGAAGGAGCUGGGACUGCCCGAGAACCACCCCUGGCUCCUGACAACCACUGGGUGACCGAAACCACCAUGUGCCUGUGGAUCACGCAUGUGGUCAAGCCCUAUGUCACACGUGUAAAGAAGGAGCUGGGACUGCCCGAGAACCACCCCUGGCUCCUGAUGCUGGACUGCUGGCACGUGCACCUGACGGAGGACUUCCAGGUGUGAAGGGGUCUAUCAUCGACAGUGGGGAUACUUAUUGGGUUCGUUGCUUGUUCCCUGACCUCAUCAGCCAUUAAGUGAGGCCUUACACUGCUUUGGCUUUUGCUUUCCCUUUGCAGGACUUUAUCAAAGCGCAGAUCCCGGGCGUCUUCAUCAAGUAUGUGCCCGCCAACUGCACCUCGAAGGCUCAGCCAUGUGAUGUUGGCAUCCAGAAGCCCUUCAAGGACGGCACCCGUGAGACCGCCAUGCUCACCGUGCAGGAAACUGUACGGCAGGAGUUCAACAAGGGCAGGAGUUCAACAAGGGCAUCGCACCGGAGGAUGUUGUCCUGAGCCUCCGCACCUCCUACCUCAAGCCCCUCAUUCCCACUUUCCUCCUCGCUGGCUGGUGCAAGCUCAAGGAGAACCCCGAGAUGGUGCGCAAGGCGUGGCGGAGCUGCCACUCUGGGAACCAGCUUCCCUUCGAUACCCGGGAAUCCCUUCAUCUAGUUGUCGUUUCGUGCUCAUUCGUGCUCAUUUCAUAACGAAGGACUGAGGGGCCUUCAGAGCAUAUCGACGGAGUUCGGCUGAAAUGGCCACUUAGCAUGCAAAAGCCCUGUAAUAUCGCCAUGCCAGGGAUUGUUUUAAUUACUUAUGACUGUAUGCAUUGUUCCAACGUGAGUUAUCAUGAAUUCUGAGCUCAUCCCACAAUGAAGGGCUGAGGGCCCUUCAGAAGUAGUUUGGCUGAAGUGGUCUUAAUUCACGGAUUCCUUUAUAGAAGCCUUCUGAUAUCGUCAUGCCAGAAUUGGUUUUAGUGAGAACAUGACUUAGCAUGAUCAUGCAUAGUGUUUUUGGAGCUACGUUCGGCAAAACAAGUACAAACGCACAGCAUCUGUUUGCAAACCUGGCUAUUGAAGAUAGAAUAACAGCUAAUAACUAUGGCCCCUCCAGCUAAAACAUAUCCCCGUUACCUCUGCGACGGCCGCUCACCAAAUUCGAAUUUUCGUGUGCGUCCUGUGGACGCAAUGAUCAGUGCCAGUCUCGUGCAUAUUAUCACAUCACCAGACAGCAGUGCAUCCAGCUUGUUAAUAAUGGCAAAGAGGCCGUGGCUCCUCACGAGAUGGUCGCAAUUUCUCACUGUUGCGAUACAUUGCCACGUACUCUUUGUGGUUUUAACUUACGACGUCCGAUAUGCUGCAGAUGAAUAUCCUCAGCAACAAACUCCAGUUGCGGUGGUUGGUGCGGGAGCACAGGCUCAAGCUAACCAGCCGGAUGAAACAGGUACAAUAAACGAAACUAGCAGACAUGUCACAUGUAGAUCAUCAGCGAUUUGAAGCUAGGUCCCCCCUGUCAGUACUGUCAGUACACUAGUGUAGGCGCCUCGUCUCCAGUGGCGGUGGACAUGGAGUGGAGUCCGGAGUCCGCCGAAGGGCCAGGCGGAAAUGCAGUGGAGCCCCGACAACCUAACAGGUGAGACCGUAGUCCAUUAGGUAUUUUAUAGAAAUGUUUCUCCUCCUUUUGCAUCAUCGGGUGAUGUGAACACACAUUGAAGAAGGGAGGAAGAUAGCAAAGUUGGAUAUGGGGGGGAGAGAGGAGAGGGGAAUGCGGGGAAGAGAUAGCUGUAUCCUAUAGGAGGUGGGGAUGCGNNNNNNNNNNNNNNNNNNNNNNNNNNNNNNNNNNNNNNNNNNNNNNNNNNAGCUCAUCCAUCUCUCAACAAAAUUUGCCUCAAAACAUGCUACAUCAUAGGUCACAUGCACUAUCCACCCUAACACCUUCUGGUAGUCAUGCCUAGUAUUAGUCCUCUAUCGCUGUUAGUUAACACUACAAGACAUUGCUGCAGCAGCAGUCCUCCACAAGCAGUUUGUGAGCCUGUAUGCAGCAAAGAUCAGGCAGGGGCAUACAAUAGCACCUUUGUCAGACCAUCAAGAACUGCAAUGACUGUGAUGUGGAACUAAGAAUGCAGUUUUAUGCCACACACCUUACUACUGCUUUAACCCUCCACUGACUCUGCGUGCUGAUGUGUGGUGGGGAAAGCAUGUGGUGUUGUCCACAGCAGCUGCAGGUUGCUGGGUGGGCCCUGUAGACAGACAAACAUGCCCAUCAGAAGUUAAAUACGCCAAACCCUGUAUAGGAGACUCCAUACAGAAUAUAUGCAGCAAGAGGUAAUUUGACACAAAAUCCAAAAACUGCAGUUGCCCUUGUUUGCUUGCACAUGAAUGACAAUUAUCCCCCCUUAAAAUCAGGGGGUCCCCAACCAUCUGUCAAUCUCAGAGUGAUGGAUGCAACUGUGUAGAUACCUGUAGUCACAGCUAUCACCUCCCAUGCAGAAAAAGCAUGCCCGGGAAUCGAACUCAGGUCGGAACUGAAUUAUUUGCCUAAUCCAACCCGUUCUAUCAUGACUUCCCCAGAGAAGAUUUCACCAUUCUCAAGUCUUAGCUCCGUAUAUGAGCUAGUAACCAGCAUACUUCCUCAACGGCUUCUUCCUGUUUGAACCUGGGUAGUUGCCUUAAUCAACCUGUUACAUCAUGAUUUCCCCCAGAGAACAACUCACCAGUGGUCACUAUUCACGUGUCGUGAUAUGAGCCAGUAGCCAACAUACGCCUCCAUCCUCAACGGCUUCC